GACGAACGCUGGCGGCGUGCUUAACACAUGCAAGUCGAGCGGAAAGGCCACUUCGGUGGUACUCGAGCGGCGAACGGGUGAGUAACACGUGAGUAAUCUGCCCCUGGCUUUGGGAUAGCCACCGGAAACGGUGAUUAAUACCGGAUACGACCACUUCUCGCAUGGGAUGGUGGUGGAAAGUUUUUUCGGCCAGGGAUGUGCUGGCGGCCUAUCAGCUUGAUGGUGAGGUAAUGGCUCACCAUGGCUUCGACGGGUAGCCGGCCUGAGAGGGUGACCGGUCACACGGGGAAUGAGACACGGCCCAGACUCCUACGGGAGGCAGCAGUGGGGAAUAUUGGACAAUGGGCGGAAGCCUGAUCCAGCAACGCCGCGUGAGGGAUGACGGCCUUCGGGUUGUAAACCUCUUUCAGCAGGGACGAAGCGCAAGUGUCGGUACCUGCAGAAGAAGCACCGGCCAACUACGUGCCAGCAGCCGCCGUAA
rnacentral:rRNA from 1 species